rnacentral:rRNA from 1 species
GAAGGUAAUAGUCCUGUAAGUGAAACGAGAAGACCACGAGUUAUGAUCCAGAGUACCACGAGACACGUGAAACCUUGUGGGAAGCAGGGAGGACCACCUCCCAAGGCUAAAUACUACCUGAUGACCGAUAGUGAAGCAGUACCGUGAGGGAAAGGUGAAAAGAACCCCGGGAGGGGAGUGAAAUAGAACCUGAAACCGUGUGCCUACAACCGCUCAGAGCCCCUUAUGAGGGUGAUGAGGUGCUUUUUGUAGAACGAGCCAACGAGUUACGGUAUGUAGCAAGGUUAAGUACUUAAGGUACGGAGCCGAAGGGAAACCGAGUCUGAAUAGGGCGACUAGUUGCAUGCCGUAGACCCGAAACCGGGUGACCUAUCCAUGGCCAGGUUGAAGCGAGGGUAAAACCUCGUGGAGGACCGAACCACGUUGCUGUUGAAAAAGCAUGGGAUGAGCUGUGGAUAGCGGAGAAAUUCCAAUCGAACCCGGAGAUAGCUGGUUCUCUCCGAAAUAGCUUUAGGGCUAGCGUCGAGUAUGAGUAGUGGAGGUAGAGCACUGAAUGGGCUAGGGGGCAUAGCGCUUACCGAACCUUAUCAAACUCCGAAUGCCACAUACUUUGAGCUCGGCAGUCAGACUACGAAUGAUAAGAUCCGUGGUCAAAAGGGAAACAGCCCAGAUCGUCAGCUAAGGUCCCAAAGUGUAAGUUAAGUGGGAAAGGAUGUGAGAUUUCUAAGACAACUAGGAUGUUGGCUUAGAAGCAGCCAUUCAUUAAAAGAGUGCGUAAUAGCUCACUAGUCGAGAGAUCUUGCGCCGAAAAUGUAACGGGGCUAAACUUACCACCGAAGCUAC